rfam:Schistosoma rodhaini strain Burundi genome assembly, scaffold: SROB_scaffold0003534
GCACUGCUGAGGAGUCCAAUAAUAUGACGAAACGGUAGUCCAGUGC